rnacentral:rRNA from 1 species
UAAGGAAUAUUGGGCAAUGGACGCAAGUCUGACCCAGCCAUGCCGCGUGGAGGAUGAAGGUCCUCUGGAUUGUAAACUUCUUUUAUCUGGGAAGAAACCCAUAUUUUCUAGUAUGGUUGACGGUACCAGACGAAUAAGCACCGGCUAACUCCGUGCCAGCAGCCGCGGUAAUACGGAGGGUGCAAGCGUUAUCCGGAUUCACUGGGUUUAAAGGGUGCGUAGGUGGAUUGGUAAGUCCGUGGUGAAAUCCCCGAGCUUAACUUGGGAACUGCCAUGGAUACUAUUAAUCUUGAAUGUCGUGGAGAUGAGCGGAAUAUGUCAUGUAGCGGUGAAAUGCUUAGAUAUGACAUAGAACACCAAUUGCGAAGGCAGCUCGUUACGCGAAUAUUGACACUGAUGCACGAAAGCGUGGGGAUCAAACAGGAUUAGAUACCCUGGUAGUCCACGCCCUAAACGAUGGAUACUCGACAUAUGCGAUACACUGUGUGUGUCUGAGCGAAAGCAUUAAGUAUCCCACCUGGGAAGUACGAUCGCAAGAUUGA